rnacentral:lncRNA from 1 species
GCGAAUCCAAAAUCCAGAAGCUGGCCGGCUUCCAAACAGGGGUGGAUUUUGGUGAGGAUUCCAGAAGUUGGAUUCUGGAUUCGUAAAAUCCCGGAAUCUGGAGCUGGCUUGCUUUUACCUCUACUUAGAUGGUGAAGUUACCAUUUUGCCCAUGCUAAUUUCGAUAAAUUACUAUAUUCUGCCAUCCAAUCCCCUGCACUCCCCUAUCCUCC